UGGGGAAUAUUGCACAAUGGAGGGAACUCUGAUGCAGCGACGCCGCGUGAACGAAGAAGGCUUUCGAGUCGUAAAGUUCUUUUAUCUGGGAAGAUAAUGACGGUACCAUAAGAAAAAGCCCCGGCUAAUUACGUGCCAGCAGCCGCGGUAAUACGUAGGGGGCUAGCGUUGUCCGGAAUCACUGGGCGUAAAGGGUUCGCAGGCGGAAAUGCAAGUCAGGUGUAAAAGGCAGUAGCUUAACUACUGUAAGCAUUUGAAACUGCAUAUCUUGAGAAGAGUAGAGGUAAGUGGAAUUUUUAGUGUAGCGGUGAAAUGCGUAGAUAUUAAAAAGAAUACCGGUGGCGAAGGCGACUUACUGGGCUCAUUCUGACGCUGAGGAACGAAAGCGUGGGUAGCAAACAGG
rnacentral:rRNA from 1 species